UGCGUAGGCGGCCAGAUCAGUCAGGCGUGAAAGUUUUCGGCUUAACCGGAAAAUUGCGUUUGAUACUGUUUGGCUAGAAUCAGGAUGAGGUUGGCGGAAUGUGGCAUGUAGCGGUGAAAUGCAUAGAUAUGCCAUAUAACACCGAUUGCGAAGGCAGCUGGCUGGACCUGAAUUGACGCUGAGGCACGAAAGCGUGGGGAGCGAACAGGAUUAGAUACCCUGGUAGUCC
rnacentral:rRNA from 1 species